GACACUGUAACUCAGUGGUAGAGUGUAAGAUUGCAAAAUUUGAUUGCAUUGCCAGUAUCUUGAAGUCCCGUGUUCGAACCACGGCAGUGUCU